rnacentral:rRNA from 1 species
UUAAGCAUAUCAAUAAGCGGAGGAAAAGAAACCAACAGGGAUUGCCCUAGUAACGGCGAGUGAAGCGGCAACAGCUCAAAUUUGAAAUCUGGCGUCAGCCCGAGUUGUAAUUUGUAGAGGAUGCUUCUGGGUAGCGGCCGGUCUAAGUUCCUUGGAACAGGACGUCAUAGAGGGUGAGAAUCCCGUAUGUGACUGGCUUGCACCCUCCACGUAGCUCCUUCGACGAGUCGAGUUGUUUGGGAAUGCAGCUCUAAAUGGGAGGUAAAUUUCUUCUAAAGCUAAAUACCGGCCAGAGACCGAUAGCGCACAAGUAGAGUGAUCGAAAGAUGAAAAGCACUUUGGAAAGAGAGUUAAAAAGCACGUGAAAUUGUUGAAAGGGAAGCGCCCGCAACCAGACUUUGCGGCGGUGUUCGGCUGGUCUUCUGACCGGUUUACUCGCCGCCGUGAGGCCAUCAUCGUCUGGGACCGCUGGAUAAGACCGGAGGAAUGUAGCUCCCUUCGGGGUGUGUUAUAGCCUCUGGUGAUGCAGCGCGUCUCGGGCGAGGUCCGCGCCUCGGCAAGGAUGAUGGCGUAAUGGUUGUCGGCGGCCCGUCUUGAAACACGGACCAAGGAGUCUAACAUCUAUGCGAGUGUUCGGGUGUCAAACCCCUACGCGUAAUGAAAGUGAACGGAGGUGGGAACUUUUUGUGCACCAUCGACCGAUCCUGAUGUCCUCGGAUGGAUUUGAGUAAGAGCAUAGCUGUUGGGACCCGAAAGAUGGUGAACUAUGCCUGAAUAGGGUGAAGCCAGAGGAAACUCUGGUGGAGGCUCGCAGCGGUUCUGACGUGCAAAUCGAUCGUCAAAUUUGGGUAUAGGGGCGAAAGACUAAUCGAACCAUCUAGUAGCUGGUUCCUGCC